CCCUUAGAUGUUCUGGGCUGCACGCGUGCUACAAUGGCGCUUGCAACAAGUCUUGCCAACCCGAUAGGGUGAGCGGAUCUUUGAAGAGGCGUCGUGAUCGGGACAGUUGAUUGCAAUUAUUCGACUCGAACGAGGAAUUCCUUGUAAUCGCGAUUCAUCAUAUCGCGCUGAAUACGUCCCUGCCCUUUGUACACACCGCCCGUCGCUCCUACCGAUUGAGCGAUCCGGUGAAUGUUUUGGACUGGCGUCAGGAGCGGUUCGCUCCUGACACUACGAAAUUUUGUAAACCUUAUCGCUUAGAGGAAGGAAAAGUCGUAACA
rnacentral:rRNA from 1 species